GGCAUAGCCUACUCCGUACCUAGGCUGUAUGGAAUAGCCAAUUACUCCUAGGCUACAAACCUGUACAGUCUGUUACUGUACUGAAUACUGUAGGCAAUUGUAACACAAUGGUACUUGUGUAUCUAAACAUAGAAAGGUACGGUAAAAAUAUGCUAUAAAAUAUAAAAAAUGGCAUACUUGUGUAGGGCACUUACCAUGAAUGGAGCUUGCAGGACUGGAAGUUGCGCUGGAUCCUUAGAAUAUACACAAAGUUUUCAUGGACCACACAUUAUGAAACACUGGAUUAGCGCAAAGUGAAAUGCUUCCAGAGUAGGAGCCACUAUUCUGAGGAAUCUUGGAAGAAAAAUCCCCAGAUAGCAGAUGACUGGUAGGAAGAUGAGGCAAGUUUGCGGUCCAUUGUCAUGGAUAGUGGAGACAACACUGGGCCAGAAGUGGUAAGACCUGAAUCCAAGACUCAGCUCUGCCACUUGCUAAAUGGGACUUUGAAUAAACCAUUUCUCUGCACUUAAGUUCCUUACCAACAAAACGAGGGAAGUGGCCUACAUGCCUAGAUAUCAACAUUUCAUGUCACGUAGAGAUCUAGCAUCACAAGAAUCCAAGUCAUCCUCUGUUGCCUUUAAGAAAUUAGAAUUAAAGGAAUCAGAAUUGAAGUGAAUCUGACUACACUAAGCCUAUCACUUGUGACAGCCAUGGGAAGAUAUCAUUGGUUGCUGAGGAGCAGAAAUAAGCAGAGACCUAUUGUGUUAGGUUAUCAUUCAUUUCAGACAAAAAGCAGAUCAGCAAGUUUUCAUAUUGCACUAUUUUCAAUGGCUGGAGCAUCAACAUUUUACAACAAGAAAAAAAUUAAAAUUCUUCAACAUUUGGAAAAGAAGUGUUUGUAAAACUUUUCACAUCCAUUCACCAUCCGGAAAAGCAAGGUUUUACAGUGAGGCCUGAUGAUGUCUAGAGUCACCAUGCAUCUUGGAAAAUGACCUCCUAUUUAUUUCUUCUACAGGACACCAUGGUGUUCACCUUUCUACAACUUUACACUUGCUGAGGACAUAUUGUGGAAAAUUAAGAGAAAUAUAUAUGGAUGGCCAAGGCUGUAGAUGGAUGUCCAAGCCUUUUUACUGGGGAAUGUUUUCAGAACAAAAUGAGUUACAGGUUCAAGAGUGAAACCCAACAAAUCUUGGCUCUUUUUUUCUCUACUAAAUUCCAAAUCAAAAGUA
ensembl:lncRNA LINC02207 long intergenic non-protein coding RNA 2207